rnacentral:rRNA from 1 species
GAAUAUUGGACAAUGGGGGAUACCCUGAUCCAGCCAUGCCGCGUGUGUGAAGAAGGCCUUCGGGUUGUAAAGCACUUUAAGCAGGGAGGAAAGGGGCAUGGCUAAUACCCUUGUCAGUUGCCGUUACCUGCAGAAUAAGCACCGGCUAACUUCGUGACAGCAGCCGCGGUAAUACGAAGGGUGCAAGCGUUAAUCGGAAUUACUGGGCGUAAAGCGCGCGUAGGCGGUUUGAUUAGUUGGAUGUGAAAGCCCAGGGCUCAACCUUGGAACUGCAUCCAAUACUGUCAGGCUAGAGUACGGGAGAGGGGGGUAGAAUUCCACGUGUAGCGGUGAAAUGCGUAGAGAUGUGGAGGAAUACCGGUGGCGAAGGCGGCCCCCUGGAUCGAUACUGACGCUGAGGUGCGAAAGCGUGGGGAGCAAACAGG